UGGGAGACUGAUACACAGAUAGAUGUCCUGUUCUGUUCUGUUCUGGCUCUCCCUAGAUUAAUAGUGCUUUUUGAUGACCGUAACGAAAUGAGAGAAAUCGUGACGAACCGAUAUGGAGCAAACACUU